rfam:TPA: Bos taurus chromosome 2, whole genome shotgun sequence.
UUGCUGGUGGUCCAGUGGUUAGGCCUCUGCACUUGCACUGCUGGGGGCCCAGGUUCAAUCCCUGGUUGGGAAA